rnacentral:rRNA from 1 species
CGCGUAGGCGGUUAGAUCAGUUGGGUGUGAAAGCCCCGGGCUCAACCUGGGAACUGCAUUCAAUACUGUCUGACUGGAGUAUGGGAGAGGGCAGUGGAAUUCCAUGUGUAGCGGUGAAAUGCGUAGAUAUGUGGGGGAACACCAGUGGCGAAGGCGACUGCCUGGCCCAAUACUGACGCUGAGGUGCGAAAGCGUGGGGAGCGAACAGGAUUAGAUACCCUGGUAGUCC